rnacentral:rRNA from 1 species
GAUGAACGCUGGCGGCGUGCCUAAUACAUGCAAGUCGAGCGAACGGACGAGAAGCUUGCUUUUCUGAUGUUAGCGGCGGACGGGUGAGUAACACGUGGAUAACCUACCUAUAAGACUGGGAUAACUUCGGGAAACCGGAGCUAAUACCGGAUAAUAUUUUGAACCGCAUGGUUCAAAAGUGAAAGACGGUCUUGCUGUCACUUAUAGAUGGAUCCGCGCUGCAUUAGCUAGUUGGUAAGGUAACGGCUUACCAAGGCAACGAUGCAUAGCCGACCUGAGAGGAUGAUCGGCCACACUGGAACUGAGACACGGUCCAGACUCCUACGGGAGGCAGCAGUAGGGAAUCUUCCACAAUGGGCGAAAGCCUGACGGAGCAACGCCGCGUGAGUGAUGAAGGUCUUCGGAUCGUAAAGCUCUGUUAUUAGGGAAGAACAUAUGUGUAAGUAACUGUGGACAUCUUGACGGUACCUAAUGAGAAAGCCACGGCUAACUACGUG